rnacentral:lncRNA from 1 species
AUGCUGAACUUACAGAUGCAAAGGAUCUGGUCAACAAACAGCUGCUCCACCAAAAAACUCUGCAGAUACAAAGUGAGGGACAAUUCUGGAGAACUGGAAACCAAUUCCUACAAGGCUAAAAGCCUGCUGUUGCUGGCCUCAGGUGCCGGGCGACCGCGAAAGCCCCAGUCCUCAUGUCGGCCUUCCCUGGUGCAGACAGGCGCUACUGCCUACCUUCGGCCGCGAAGACCAACCCAUCAAACUCGCGCAGCUCUAAAGCACGCAGAGCCUGGUCAGGCGGUCAGCAAUGAAAGAGCCUGCGCCUGCGCACUCCCAGUACGGAAGACACUCCCAGAAGUCUCCGGGGCGCGGGGUGGGCGGGCCUUGUGGGCUGCAGGGCGCGUAUGUUCUACUCUUUACGGCGCCGGACUACAUUUCCCACAGGCCACUGCAAUCAGGCCAGUUUAGCCUGGGACUAUUUUUUCCCAAAGGCUACCAGGGCAACCUUGGCGUCUGCCUUUUGACCCCACUGUUGUGAUUGUUGGGGCGGCCGCGGGUUUGUACUUCCGUGACGGGAAGGGGCUGGCCCCAGGGAGCGAGCUCUGCAGACUCGGGCCAGCCCCGCGGGGUCCCAGGGACUCGCGUGAAGGGAACAGUGAGUGCAUGGAGUGGGGAGGGGGUUCUCCAGACGCGGGCGGGGAGCGUGGGGUGGACGAGGUGUACAGGGUGCGGCCGGGGCCGCCGGGUCGCGGGCCGGAGUGUCGCGUGGGCGGGACGAAGAGCGCUGGUGUGCGCCCGCGGAGACCGCGGCCUGAGCUCUAGUGACCCUGGAUCCGCAGCUGGGAGGGAUGGCAGCUGCGUGUUAGGCUCCUGCGGCCCCGCCACGCGGGUCCGCGCGGGGCUCUGCGAGGGUCGGUCGGGGCGGCAGAACCACAGCGACCCCAGGGUGCGGGCCGAGCCGCCUCGCCCUCACCUCCUUCUGGUUAGAAAGGGCGUGAGUCGGGGGAGCUGGCCUGGAGGGUGUUUUCUGAGUCCUUUAAACUCCGAAAAAGCACAGUUGUCUCAUGGCUCUCUUCUCUAAUUCUAUCCUUCUCCAAAAGAAAGACCCAAAUGAGGACGAAAUAACUGUUGCACAUCUGAAAAUUAAGAUUUAGGGGGGUUUUGUGUUUCCUUUUUGUUCAUAAGGUUAUUGGUGUUUUAAGAACACGAGUACAUUUGUUUUCCUUUGCCCGAAAUAGUCGGCCUCGUAGUGACCUGCUCUAGGUUUCUUCCCAGUGAGAGAUGGAGUCCUUACAGAUGGAUCCACCUCCCUGUGGCCCCCCAUUCUUUCUCUUUUUAGUUAAUAUUCUCCUUACCUUUUUAGUUAAUAUUUCUCACUACUGAUUACAGAUCAUUCAAAUCCUCUUCGGUGCUCUCUUCUGAGCAUGUUGAGGGUAUGUUGUAGAAAUGCUGCUCUUGGGGCCGUAUUUUGGACUGAUGUGGUGGGGAGAUUAGUUGUAAUAUUGCGUUGGCAUCCCACACUAGACAGCUUGCCUUCUCCCAGGGCUUCACUGUCAAAGCUUAGCAAGAUGGGCGUCCAUUUAACCACUUCAGUAAACAAAUAACAAAGUCAUCUUUCUCGUGAAGCUUUUAGAAGUGGGCAUGUGAUUGUAGGUUUAGCAUAUGGGGGGGUCUGUGUCCUCAGUCCUUUGUUUGAUUUUUUUAGUUUCGUCUGUUCGUCAGGUCUUGUUUGAGUCUGUUUCACAGUAUCCUUGGCCGGUGAGAGGCAGUGUGGUGUGCUGUUGAGGAGUAUGAGUUCUGAAGCUUAGAAUCUGGCGUUGAAUCUUGGCUUUGCUGCUUAACCAGGUGUGUGACCAUCUGCACCCUCACUUUUCUAAAUCUCUGAAAUGGCGAUAAUAAUAGAUCCUACUUCAUCGGGGUCUAACAAGGGUAAGAUGUGUUAAUAUGUGUAAAGUGCCUGGAACAUACUGAGUGCUCAGAAAGUAUCAGCUGUUUAUUUUUUGGUGAUUCUGGGUCAUUCCUUUUCAGAAUUCAGUAUCAAUAGAAAAGUAAACUCGUUAAAUACAGGAAUUCCUAAACGGAAGGCUUUGACUCUAUUUAGGGGCUUCCAGGUGAUCACAAACCACUUAUAAUUGCAUACAAAACUGUAGUUUAUAUUUAUAUAUGUGUAUUAUAUAUGUGUAUUUUUCUGGGGAGAAACAUUGUGAUUUUAUUCAAAUAACAAAGGUGAUAUACAUAAUAAAAGUAUUUAAAACCAGUGGUGUUCA